rnacentral:rRNA from 1 species
GACGAACGCUGGCGGCGUGCUUAACACAUGCGAGUCGAACGGAAAGGCCCUGCUUUUGUGGGGUGCUCGAGUGGCGAACGGGUGAGUAACACGUGAGUAACCUGCCCUUGACUUUGGGAUAACUUCAGGAAACUGGGGCUAAUACCGGAUAGGAGCUCCUGCUGCAUGGUGGGGGUUGGAAAGUUUCGGCGGUUGGGGAUGGACUCGCGGCUUAUCAGCUUGUUGGGGGGGUAGUGGCUUACCAAGGCUUUGACGGGUAGCCGGCCUGAGAGGGUGACCGGCCACCUUGGGCCUGAGAUACGGCCCAGUCUCCUACGGUACGCAGCAGUGGGGAAUCUUGCACAGUGGCCGGACGCCUGUUGCAGCGACGCCGCGUGCGGAAUGCCCGCCCUCGGGUUGUAAACCGCUUUCGCCUUUGACGAACCGUGCGUGACGGUAAUGAGUCAAGAAGCACCGGCUAACUACGUG